rnacentral:rRNA from 1 species
GGAUGAACGCUAGCGAUAGGCUUAACACAUGCAAGUCGAGGGGCAGCAUGGUCUUAGCUUGCUAAGACUGAUGGCGACCGGCGCACGGGUGCGUAACGCGUAUGCAACUUGCCUCACAGAGGGGGAUAACCCGUCGAAAGACGGACUAAUACCGCGUACACUCCACUUUGGGCAUCCAAAGUAGAGGAAAUGAAAUUCGCUGUGAGAUAGGCAUGCGUCCCAUUAGCUAGUUGGUGAGGUAACGGCUCACCAAGGCGACGAUGGGUAGGGGAACUGAGAGGUUGAACCCCCACACUGGUACUGAGACACGGACCAGACUCCUACGGGAGGCAGCAGUGAGGAAUAUUGGUCAAUGGGCGAGAGCCUGAACCAGCCAAGUCGCGUGAAGGAUGACUGUCUUAUGGAUUGUAAACUUCUUUUAUACGGGAAUAACAAGAGCCACGUGUGGCUCCCUGCAUGUACCGUAUGAAUAAGCAUCGGCUAACUCCGUG